rfam:Nannochloropsis gaditana chloroplast, complete genome.
GGCGGGGUAGAGCAGAUUGGUAGCUCGUUGGGCUCAUAAUCCGAAGGUCAGUGGUUCAAGUCCACUCUCCGCUA